UGCCGAACUCAGUAGUGAAACGCGACCGCGCCGAUGAUAGUGUGGCAGCUGCCAUGUGAAAGUAGGUCACUGCCAGGC
rnacentral:rRNA from 1 species